rnacentral:rRNA from 1 species
UUCGAUGUUCUGGGCUGCACGUGUGCUACAAUGAUAGUGACAACAAGCUCCUGCCCUGAGAGGGGUGGGUAAUCUUGAAAAUCGCUGUCUUGCUUUGGACUGAGCCUUGUAAUAAUUGCUCACGAAAGAGGAAUUCCUCGUAAGCGCGAGUCAUCAGCUCGUGUUGAAUAAGUCUCUGCCCUUUGUACACACCGCCCGUCGCUACUACCGACUGGAUGUUGCUUCGAAAAGUUUGGACCUGCGGCGUCAUUUGGCGCUGCGGGGAAAUGCGUUGAGAUGUUUCAUCUGGAGGAAGUAAAAGUCGUAACAAGGUUUCCGUAGGUGAACCUGCGGAAGGAUCAU